rnacentral:tRNA from 1 species
CGGGAUGUGGCUCAGCUUGGUAGAGCGCUACGUUCGGGACGUAGAGGUCGCUGGUUCGAAUCCAGUCAUCCCGACCA